rnacentral:rRNA from 1 species
AGAGUUCGAUUAUGGCUCAGGAUGAACGCUAGCGACAGGCCUAACACAUGCAAGUCGAGGGGCAGCAGUAUUGUAGCAAUACGAUAGCUGGCGACCGGCGCACGGGUGAGUAACGCGUAUGCAACUUGCCUGUCAGAGGGGGAUAACCCGUCGAAAGGCGGCCUAAUACCCCAUACCACAGAGAUUUCGCAUGAAAUUUUUGUAAAAGGAGAAUCGCUGACAGAUAGGCAUGCGUUCCAUUAGCUAGUUGGUAGAGUAACGGCCUACCAAGGCGACGAUGGAUAGGGGUUCUGAGAGGAAGGUCCCCCACACUGGUACUGAGACACGGACCAG